rnacentral:lncRNA from 10 species
AUGUCUGAGCUUGGCUUAGGAAUAGGCUCAGAUCCGAGUAUGUGAUGUGAGUAUGGGCUGAGAUUCAGGAAGGCUUAGAUAUGGAAGGGGACUGAGAGAAGGACAGAGUUGGGUAAAUAAAUGAGGUGGCCUCAAGCUGAGAUGUGGAUUACAGACGAAUUCAUUGAUGCAUUUCAAAAGUGGAAAGGCAGGAGAAAAUGAAAUUCAAUUUGCUUCAUUUUAAAAAUCGUAGCUCUAGAAUUAUAUUAUUCAAAAGAUGUUAAAAAUUCUAAAUAUUUUACUGUGGUUUUAUUCUGUUUUUCUAUAAAAAGAUGGUAUGUUCUCUCAAAAACCAACUAUUUAGUAAGCAUAGCAUUAUGACAAAUAAUUCUGAAAAUGACAAUCAAGUAAUCAAGUUCUGUAAGUUCAUGACCUAUAAACAAAUCAGAAUGAGAAGUUUAAAUAUACUCCUUGUUUUCCCUUGCCCUUAAAUGGUAAUCUGAGUUUGAGGAAUAACUUCUGAAUGUAUUUAUAGCAGGCAGAUGGUUCUGUUGCCUACUGUUAGUUUGGAAAGAAUAGAAGAAGGUAUAGAUAGGUGACUGGAGAAGGAAAACACUUUACUAAGCCGACAUGAAUAGAAUGCAGAUUUUUUUAAGCCAAAUCAGUUUUGAAAAUGUAUAUAUAAAAUUGUGCAAAAGAAUUUCUCUAGUUUUUUCCUGUAUUAUUUAAUGGUUGAAGGCUGUAGACUUUUUUUUUUUUUUUUUUUUUUUUUGAG